UCAAAGUAAUAUAUAGGCCUCAUCAAAAACCUUAAAGUUGAUUCAAUAAACAUAUAUAACAAUCAUAUAUAAGGAGGUUGUGCCACAAAUGGAGAAGUACAUAUAUGUUUCUAGAUGUGCCACACAACCAAAAUGAAGUAGUGCCACAAAUGGAGAAGUACAUAUAUUUCUAAAUGUGCCACACAACCAAAAUGGGCAGAGCAAGUCUCCAGGUUCAACAAGGCAUAUGACAUUAUCACCCCACCAACUUAAUUACAGGUCUUCCAAAUCUUCAACGGCUUGAAGGUAUUUCAAGCGUCCGUCAACUUGUGUGCCUUUCGGAAAUCUGCAAUAGAUUGGAAACUCAAAAUGAAGCUCUUGUUUCAGAUUUUUUUAAGAGACAAAUUAAAGAUUUUGACAUGUAGCAAUUUAACUCAUCGGCAUAAAUAAAACUCUUCUAAAUGUGUUGCACUUCAUCAUCACAACAAGCAAAAUCACAUAAUUAGAUCAAGCAAGAAUCAUUUGCCCUCAUACAAAGAUUAUCGAUGGUAAAAUUUGGCAGACCAAAAAUUUGUACAUAAUUGAUUUACACCGAACAUACCAAGAGCUAAUUCUAAGUAGACAAAGUAAUACCUAGUGAAUAUAAGCAGGAUUCCAUGGCAAAACAAUAUGUCAAGUUACAACUUACUAGUGAAAGCUUUUUUUUAUCAGCGGCAUAUAAGUGCUUUUGGGAUUUAAGUGACAUUUGUGGAUGUAGGAUAAGCUGAUAUUGCUUCCUGUUACUACUUCUAACAUCGAUAUUGUUCCCUUCUAAAAAACACGACCACAAGUUAAUAUUCAGUGCAGAGUAUAUAUUUUUACUUUGAGCAACCAAUGUAAAUAUUCAAUACAGAGUAAUUUAGUUUAAGGCAAUCAUUGACGGAGACCACAGGGAAUCUGGAGGAAGCAAUUGCUGGAGAUUAUAGCUAUGGCGGCGUAAGGAGGCAGUUGAGAAAGCAAGAUAAACACGAUGCUAAAUGUGAGGCCUUUGUUCUAUGACAUGUCCAAAACUCGAUGUUCAUGAUUCUCAAUAUUUGUCAUGCUACUUUCAAAAUUUACGUAAAUAUUUCCUUUGCAAGAGUACAGUUUUGUAGUGAUCAAAAGCUCCAUGUAUGCUCUAUGUACAUAGUUAAAUAGGAGAACAAUAGGGGGGAAACUAUUACUCAUCCCCUCAAACUGAGUUUUUGCCUAGGAAGCUGGCGAUUGGUGAUGAGUGAUCAAGUUGAGGAUUUGUGGUUAUGGUAUGUUGCCUAACAGGGCCUAAGUAAGCAUAUGAUGCAAAAAUAGAGAUCAAUCAAGAAAAAGAAUGACAGAAUAUCGAUAUAGAGAACUGUGUUUUACGAUGCUGCUAAUAUUAUUAAGCUGGACAAUUGAACAUCAGAUGGAAAACCGGACAAGUGAAAAUAACAUAUAAUAAAUAGAGAAUUGUGUUUUGCGAAGCUGCUAAUAUUAUUAAGCAAAGAAAACGAGCUUGUCACCUAACCCAGACUAGCACAUGAACAAGAUCAAAGACCUACCUAUGAAGAAAUUUUUACCAAAUGAGCAUUUUUCACCCAACUUGUUAGGCAUACAAAUAAGCCACCAAUAGUUAAUGCCAUCACAUCCAAAUACUGUGCUUGUUACCUAGGAACCAUGAGGGUAGAAUACAGAGAAAAUAACGGGAUAGAGUUCUCCAUAGAACAAAUGUACAGUACAGAUAACCUAGAGCAGAAGAUAAACAAGAUCAGGGACCUACUCAUAGAGAAAAUUUUAGGAAAUGAGCAAAGCAUCGCUAUCUAGAUAGACUGCCAUUCAAAUCUGCAUUUUAUCACUUCCAAUUUGAUUCGACGAGGUAAUACUAGCAGUAAGCUAACAGAGCAGGGUUCCGAUGUGACAAGCAAAACUAAGAGGUCUGACUUGGCCAAUAUUUCCUGUUUCAAUAUUUUAAAUCGCCUAACAUCACAAACAAAGGUGCAUGCAGUAUAAGCAAUGCAUCUUGUAAGCUUAGCUCUUUCUGAAGUGAUCAAUGCAUCUUAUAAGGUACUCCUUAUAAGAAAUAGUAUUAUCAUGAUUGAGAGGCUUUGAGUUCCUUCCAAAUUUAUCAAGAUAACGAUUGAAUGGCAAACAACAAAGAAAUAGUAUCACAUGGCGAUAGCCAAGAGAAACAUGUAUAUACCUCCUAGCUUGCUUGUGGUCACAUUCCUGCUUUUGCCAUGUAUUUGUCUUCAACAUCUCUAGUCGUUUUGGACCUAAGAACUCGAGUUGCUUCAAUAGUAGGCAUUUAUGCAGUGCGCUACAAAUAACCAAACAAGAUGGUGUAUAAAGUGCCUCAAAACUGAAGUAGUAGGUGCAGUUUUAUAAUUGAUGCAGUAACCAAACAGAAGCAUGUCAUAUCACCUUCCUCCUGUUGGUUUGUCAUUGACUGGCUCGGCCUCCAGGAUCUUCAUUUAUAUUUUAGGACCCAAAAUGUUCAAAGUCUGCACCAUUCUUGCUAUAAGUUUUGCUAGCCUCUCUCGCACUCGUGCUUCAGCAUCAUCUUCAUCUCUUCCCUUUUUCCAUUCUUUUUCCUUAAAAGAAAAUUUAUGGCACAUUAUAAUUGACAGAUUAGAUUUCAAGUAGAUAAGCAAGUAACUGUAGAAGGAAAAGGAACACACUUUGGUUGCUAAAUUGUAGGAACGAGUGUUCCAUCUAUGUAUGUCCUACUAUUAGGUAUAUUUCUAACACCAACAGAUCUAAAUUAGCAUCUCAGUAGGGUGGUAAAAAUUGAACUUUGGCUUUGAGAAACCUAAUGCCACAGUUAUAACGAUUCAACAUGUGUAGUCGUACAAUCAAGCACUCUACGAUAUAGGAAAGUAAAACUUAGACAAAAUAGCACUUGUUUGCCCCUGAUGCAACCGAAGGCUAAAUACAAAAGUUAUAUAUGUUAUGUUACGUAGAGCAAACAUUUAUUUGGGCUAUAAACCUCACUUGGGUUCAAAGUGAUUAAAUCAGAACCGUCACCUUCAGAGAAUACAAAUAUUACGUCAGUGCAAUUAACAGAACCACCACUGAUUUGACUUCCCUGGAGAAAAAGAAAGUCCACACACUCCAGCACUAUUGCAC
rnacentral:lncRNA from 1 species